UCUUGAACUCCUGACCUCAUGAUCUGCCCCCCUCAGCUUCCCAAAGUGCUGGAUUACAGGAAUGAGCCACUGUGCCUCACCACUUUUAUUAUUAUUUUAAAAAUUUUAUUGAGGUAUAAGUGACAUACAAUAUUUAAAGUGGACAAUUUGAUAUAUUUCAGUGUUGGUAUACACCUGUGAAACCAUCACCAUAAUCAACACAGUGAAUAUAUCAUCACCCUAAAAGGUCCCUGCUGCUCCUUUAUGACACCUCCUCCUACCCCUCUCGUCCAUCCCACUGAUCUGCUUCCUGUCACUGUAGCUUAGUUUACAUUUUCUAGAGCUUGUAUGAGAACAGCUAUGCAGUUUAUACUUGUUUUUGUCUGGCUUCUUCCACUCAGCAUAAUUGUUUUGUGAUUUACCCAUGUUGUGUAUGUCAGUGGUUCAUUCCUUUUUAUUUUUGAGGAUUUGUAUUCUUAAAAAAUCUGCCUAGUAGAUUCUUCUGCCCCACCAGGUUUGGGAGUCACUGAUCGGGACAUCCUGAUACUUUCAUCUCCUUCUUCAGUUGCCCCAGGAACUCCAACAGUGUUAUAGUUCUCCUCUCCCUGGGGCUCAUCUCUAAGGAACUAGGAAGAGCCUGGCCUCAGGUGCCUGGCCCUUUACAGGAACUAGAAGGCUGAGAGUGUCAGUUCCUCAGGGGCAGAGUUUGCUGUGGCCUAGAAGAGGGGCAUCUGGAAUGCAAAUAGUUCAUGACAUGCUAGACAGCACACACUUACCACUUAUGGAAUGCCCAAAACCUUCAAAAGUUCUCAAAUUCAUAAAUAUUGAGGAUUUUUGGUUCUUGGUUCAGAUCUCUGCUUGUUUCCUUGGUCACAUUUAUGCUGAUAGUCACUUGUUUUCUUCAUAUACGCUGUCACUAGAAUUCCCCUACAUUUUUGAGGAUGCCUGGAGCCUCUUACCUAAUGCACAUUUUCCCGAAAGGCCCAAUGUCUGUCACCUUAGCAGUUUUGGCACCCCCAGAGAUGAUGGAGGGUGACUGAGCCGGCUGGAGACAGGUGCUGAGCUUUCCUACCAGUUUAGUGACCGCCAGCAGCCCAUGCACAGUAUACCCCAGGCCUCAGCAAAGUACAAAUGGCCACCAGACCUGGGACUUCAGAUGCCCUUGGGAUGUUGAAACCAAGGCUGCCCUGGGACAACUCCAUUUUAUAUUACAGACCUGCGUUGCUUCACCCUUCUGUGUCUUGGGCCUCCUCUUGGCAUGGGGUUUGCAGUAGAGCCAGUGGAUUGGCUGUCAUCUAGGCUACUGCUCUUGUUCCAGCCCACUUACCCAGAAGCUAGCCAGGGUCAAAGGCUGCAGGGUGAGGGCCAGAGCACUGCUCUCUGCCCCAUUUGUGACCUGGUGACUUUAGAUUAUAACUACACUGGAAUAUACCUCUAGAAUAUUUGCAAAGCCCAGAUUUGCUGUAGAAAGCAGCCUGGCCCUUUGCUCUUCUGACCACUAAACCAUCUUUUGUCAAUAAAAUGGUUGCUCUGUGCAGCGUUUUGUAUGAUCUUCCCUUUGGCUCUCCUUCCUCUGGGCUAUUGGCCAGGGGCUGCCACUGGUACAGGCUGCAGGCUCCAAGAGGCAGCCCAGGAAAAGGCUUCUGUGGAAGGUGGGCAAGUCUGGAUGCUGGGCAGGCUGAGGCUAGAAUUCGGGUGUGGCAUUUGAGGGCUCUUAUGGUAUGAGUUUGGGGUUGACCUUAAAGGCCAUUUUAUUUACAUACAUUCAGAAGUUGACUUUUUGUUUAAAUAAUGCAUAUUAACUUGUUAAUAAAUGUCAUACCUCAUUCUUUAGUGGGCUUUUAAAUUUAGUGUGCUUAUCUUCCAUUCCCCUUAUAAACCUGAUGAAUUUUGAAGCUCCCCAGAGUCGACUUGAUAUUAUUGCUCACUUUCUUACUGGCCCUGCCCAGAGUCCAGGUACUCACGCCUGUUUGAGGAAAGCCAUCCCAACAUAUCUUUCCAGUGUUGUUCUGAACUACCUAAGGUGCUAUUAAAAAUACAGAUUCUUAGAUUCUUGGGCCUGAGCCCUGUGGAGACUCUGAAUUCCCAGGGCUGUGAUCCUGAGAUCUAUGUUUGAAUAAGUACCUUAGAUGAUUUUGAUGUGCUCUUUUUUUUUUUUUUUUUUUUUUUAAAGGAAAAAACAUACUUUUGGAAGACUUCUAAAGAACACCAUAUAAAAGAUAUUCAGGAUAACUUUUGCUAUAUAUGUAAUAUGUUUUAUGAAAUUUUAGAAAAUAUGUGAGUGAAAGAAAAAUGACUGUUUAGCACCCAGCAAUAGUCACUAUUAAUAUUUUGGUAUAAUCUUAUAAUUUUAUAAUAUAAUCAUUUCCAUGACAAAAGUCAGAUCAUACUACAUCUGCUUUUAAGUAAAUUUUCAUUUAAUGAAAUACCAUUAUAUUUGCUAGAUACAAGCUAAGCUGAUGUAUUAGAAACCCCAAAAUACAGCUGCUAAAUAAAGAGUUUCUUUCUUAUAAUAAAGUUCAGAGAGCAGAGCCCCAGAUUGAUGAUAGAGGGGAUUGUGGCUGCUUUCUGUGAGGUCAUGUAGGGACCCAGUUCCCUGGCUGCAGCUGGGUCACCUCCAUGUCUCUUCCAACCCACAGGAAGGCAGGAGAGAGGUAGCUCAGGGCAAGUGGCUUUGUGUGAAGGAGAUAACUCAGAAGUGAGCAGUAUGGUCAUAGCCUGCCUGCUUGCAGGAAGAUGAGGAUGUGGUUUCUAUCCUGGCAGCCGUGUGCUUAGGGAAAGCUUUAGGAAUUCUGUUACUGAAAGGAAGAGGCAAGAAUGGGCAUGAGGGACAGUCUCUGCCAUAAUUAAAAAUGCCUUUCCAGGACUUUUCAUAAAGGGCAGUAUUCUGAUGCUUGAAUUUUAUUAUCAUUUUGUUUUUUGCAAUGAUAGUUGUUUUGCAGUCAUAUAUCAUCUGUCGUUAUAUGUGAGAGUAUUUUCUUAGGGUGAUACAUUCAUAGUAGUAGACUUAGUAGUGAGACAGUAGGUAUAGCUUUAAGACUUCUGAUACAUAUUGUACUCUAGAAAAGUUGAACCUGUUUGCAUUUUUAUUACCAUUCAAGAUCUAAAUAUAAUUUUUAAAGUGUCACUUUAAAACCAUUUACCCUAAUACUAUAAGCAUUUCCUCCUGAUCAUUAUCUACAUACUCUCUGUGACAUGAUUAUCACAGAAAUAUAACCUUGAUGCAUAUCAGUUUCAUUUUCUUUUUCCAUUUAAUAUUAUUUAUGAGAUUAUUUGUAAGCCAUUUUCUGUUUCUGUUUUAUCAUACUAUUAUAACAGCGGCAUACUCCUCGUGUAUACUGAUAUAUUUAGUCAAAUAUCUAUUAUUGGGCUUUAGCUUAUUUCCAUAUUUUUGUUAUAUAAGUCAUUGUAACACUUUUCUUUUGAAAUACCCUUUCAAGUGGAUAGCUUGAAAUCCUAAGUGAGUCUGAGCACAAAGUCAAAUUUAGAAGUUCAGUCUGAGCUAUAGGCAAGUUUCACCUUUGUUUUCCAUGCUCAUGCUGGUGCUUUAUAUGAAUUCUGAAGGAUGUGUCACAAAGUGAUGAACUGCUGUCUGUGUUCAGUGGCAGAAUAGUUUGCAUCAAUAUAUUUUCACUGACAAAGAUGGGGAACAGAUGCAUUAACAGGUGCUGUGAAUCCAAAUUUUGUAUUGCUUGUUAAAUAUACCACAGGUAUUUAAUAUCUGUCAUUUGCAAUGGCAAAAGCAGAUGCCAAACAUUUCUCCUGUAGUAUAUCAUCUUACUCUGUCUUUUAUUACAUCAAACAGAAUUUUAUGCAGUUGGUAAGAAAAGACUUCACAUAAACGCAAUUUUGACAAAAAAAAAGUGGAUAUUUCUUUUCGCCAGGCGCCACCUUGUGGCCAAAAAAUACCAUUUUCAAUUCAUUUGGCUUGCCAGUUUUGGGUUUAAUUCUUGACGUACAUUUAAUUUGAGAGUGUAGAGGAAAUAUGGAUUUGCAUUAUUUCGAAUUUAAAAAAUAAGUGACUUUUUGCUAACAUUUUUAUAUUAUACGAUUUUAAAUAUAAAUAAAUGUAAAUUUCAAUUUCAUGGCUCUAAUAUCCCUAACUAGUUAGAAUUAGCCGACAUGCAGUUCUACUUGGUGAUUGUACUGGUACCAGUACUCAAGAAAAAGUGUUUAAUCGAUACAGUCAUUAAAAUUUGACUAAGUAAUAUAACUAGACCAGUAGAAUGGGUAAAUAGAAAAUGUUAUACAGUUGUCCCUCAAGUAUCUUUGUGGACUGGCUCCAGGCACUUCCCUCCAAACCAAAAUUUAGAGAUAGAUACUCAAGUCCCUUAUAUAAAAUGGGGUAGUAUUUGCAUAUAGCCUACGAACAUCCUUUCAUAUGCUUUAAAUUUUA